CUGGCGGCAGGCCUAACACAUGCAAGUCGAGCGGAAACGACAACAUUGAAUCUUCGGAGGAUUUGUUGGGCGUCGAGCGGCGGACGGGUGAGUAAUGCCUAGGAAAUUGCCUUGAUGUGGGGGAUAACCAUUGGAAACGAUGGCUAAUACCGCAUAAUGCCUACGGGCCAAAGAGGGGGAUCUUCGGACCUCUCGCGUCAAGAUAUGCCUAGGUGGGAUUAGCUAGUUGGUGAGGUAAUGGCUCACCAAGGCGACGAUCCCUAGCUGGUCUGAGAGGAUGAUCAGCCACACUGGAACUGAGACACGGUCCAGACUCCUACGGGAGGCAGCAGUGGGGAAUAUUGCACAAUGGGCGAAAGCCUGAUGCAGCCAUGCCGCGUGUAUGAAGAAGGCCUUCGGGUUGUAAAGUACUUUCAGUUGUGAGGAAGGGUGUGUAGUUAAUAGCUGCACAUCUUGACGUUAGCAACAGAAGAAGCACCGGCUAACUCCGUGCCAGCAGCCGCGGUAAUACGGAGGGUGCGAGCGUUAAUCGGAAUUACUGGGCGUAAAGCGCAUGCAGGUGGUUCAUUAAGUCAGAUGUGAAAGCCCGGGGCUCAACCUCGGAACUGCAUUUGAAACUGGUGAACUAGAGUGCUGUAGAGGGGGGUAGAAUUUCAGGUGUAGCGGUGAAAUGCGUAGAGAUCUGAAGGAAUACCAGUGGCGAAGGCGGCC
rnacentral:rRNA from 1 species